UACGUACUCCCUCCGUCCGAAAAUACUUGUCAUCAAAAUGAAUAAAAAGGAAUGUAUCUAGAACUAAAAUACGUCUAGAUACAUCUUUUUUUAUCUAUUUUGAUGGCAAAUAUUUUCAGACGGGGGGAGUAGUUG
rfam:Triticum urartu cultivar G1812 contig597613, whole genome shotgun sequence.